CCUACGGGAGGCUGCAGUAGGGAAUCUUCCACAAUGGGCGAAAGCCUGAUGGAGCAACGCCGCGUGGGUGAAGAAGGUCUUCGGAUCGUAAAACCCUGUUGUUAGAGAAGAAAGUGCGUGAGAGUAACUGUUCACGUUUCGACGGUAUCUUACCAGAAAGCCACGGCUAACUACGUGCCAGCAGCCGCGGUAAUACGUAGGUGGCAAGCGUUAUCCGGAUUUAUUGGGCGUAAAGGGAACGCAGGCGGUCUUUUAAGUAUGAUGUGAAAGCCUUCGGCUUAACCGGAGUAGUGCAUUGGAGACUGGGAGACUUGAGGGCGGAAGAGGAGAGUGGAACUCCAUGUGUAGCGGUGAAAUGCGUAGAGAUCGCGCAGAACCCCGAUUGAGAAGGCAGCGUACGGGCUCCACACUGACGCUGAGGCACGAAAGCGUGGGUAUCGAACAGGAUUAGAUACCCCAGUAGUC
rnacentral:rRNA from 1 species